CCAAUUCGCACAUGAAAACGCAGCUAAUAGAAUUUGAAAGCGGCAUGAACGACGAGAGAAUUCCAAAAUGCAGAUUGAACUCACUAAUAUAAAUACGCAAAUCAGAAAAUUUCCGGGAUUCUUCUUCUUUUUCUCCAUUUUUUCUUUUCCCUCCCUUUCUCUCUCCUGCUAACCGUGACUUGGUUCUCUGCCGAACCUCCAUUUCCAUCACCUUCAAUUGGCUUCAAACAAAAGCUAAAGAUUCUGCUUAUUUUCAGUUAUCACUGCAAUAUAGAAAAAACCUGUAAAACCACCAAACCAGAUCUCAAUCUUCAACGGAAAAUUCCAAAGCGAAUACGUCGAAAAAUUCAAAGAAACGGAACUAGAGAAGAAGAUCGACGGAUUAAAGAGUCACCUGAAUUUCCAAUC
rnacentral:lncRNA from 1 species